UGCAUCUUCAUAUCCUCACACCACCGAAUUCAAUGGAAGAGUCUUACCAUUGCUUGCAGCAAGUCCUGCCAUUUACUCUUUUCUUAUUGGCCCCAAAUGAGUCACGUGCUCAUGUGUGGAUCAAUCCUGUGGCUAAGGAGAUGAAAUGAUCUGCCCCACUCAGGGCUGAGAAUGAGGUCUCACUUUAGCUGCGUCGCCAGAAUGGUGUUUCCAAGCAAAACUGUGUUGCUGGUGUGGAUGCCAGGCAAUAAACACACAAUUUCUGCUACAUGGAAAUUUCUCAUUUUUAUGAAAUACGGCUUGGAACAAAUAGUCACCCAGGACAGAGGUCCCGAACCCCUGGAGCAUGGACCGGUAUUCGUCUGUGGCCUGUUCCUAACUGAGCUGCACAGCAGGAGGUGAGUGGCAAGUAAAUGAGCAUUACUGCCUGA
rnacentral:lncRNA from 1 species